CUCUCUCUGUCUGUCUGGCGAGCGCAUGUGCCCUACAGUGAAAAUCUCUCCAAAAAAAAAAACCAUUCCACCUUUUUCAAAGUCUGCCUAUGGCAAGCCCAGGUUGCAAACUUGAGAGCAUUAGCAGGUCUCCAAGAGCAGAUGGGCGCAGACGGUCCUUAACCUGGCCUCGAGAGACGGUGGGAAGCCGCGGCGGACCCGCACCGGAGGAGGACGGGACGGCAGGUCUCAGCACUCACUUCGGGGCCCCUCAGAGGUGGCCCACGAACCCGCAGCACACCAUGACGCGUGAGGGCCAGGCAGAGUGAGCUGUGUGCGGGGUAGGCCAGUGCGGGCCUUCGUGGUUCUGCGCAGGUCAGUUCAAGCAGCCGUCCACCCGGAGCUGAACGAGAAGGCGCCGUCUCCCCACCACUGAGUUCCAGCUCGAGAGGACACAUUCUUCAUUUCAAAACCAUCGUGGAUUUUUAACCACUCACCCAUCCCAGCCCUGAACUCUAAUUUCCUAAGGGCAAAGCCACCUGAAGCCACCAGCCCCUGUACAGGGGUCACGUGGACAUGAGGUCCCAGCAUACUGGGGUCACGUGGAUGGCAGGUCACAGCACACUGGGGUCACAGCACCAUGGGGUCACGUGGAUGGCAGGUCACAGUAUAUUGGGGGUCAUGAGGACAUGAGGUCACAGCACGAGGGUCACAAGGAUAUGAGGUCUCAGCAUACCCGGGUCACGAGGACACGAGGUCUCAGCACGCCGAGGUGGUGUGGAUGUGAGGUCCCAGCACACUGUGGUCAUAUGGAUACAAGGUUGUCGAGAGUCACGUGGACGACAGGUCACAGCGCAUGAGGUCACGGCACAGUGGGACCACGUGGACACGAGGUCACGGCACAGUGGGGACCACGUGGACACGAGGUCACGGCACAGUGGGGACCACGUGGAUGAGAGGUCACAGCACACCAGAUGCUGACAUCAGAGGAGCCCUCCCACAGCAGGGCUGGUGUUGCAGGUUCCCGACAGCACUGAUCCCACGCCCAUGCACACACGCAGGGACAAGUCACUCUCCAGGCCCUUCCUGUCAUAGUUCUUGUCCCCAGCCCUGUUGGGGCUACCCAGAGACAUAGGAGCACGUUUAGCACAAACAUGCAAGGGACCCUCAAUGAAGGAAAACAGGAAGGACACGCGUAGAAAGAACGCGGGCACAGAGGGCAGCGAGGGUCAGGGCUGACCUCCCAGUCCUGCUCUGGCUCACCGGGAAUCCCGUCCGCAUCUCCUAGGACUCCCCUUCCACCUAAUUUCUCGUCCCAUGCCUCCUAUGCCAUUGCAGGAUGUGGCACUGAAGAUGCUGGGACCCAGGAGGAAAAGCCUCCCUCCAGGAGCAGGGCUGAGGGGACUCGGUGCCCUGAGGGGUCCCUACCCUGACAGGCAGGCAUAGGCGGGGCUGACAUGGCUGCUGAAGGAGGAACCCUGCUACACACAGGCCCCUCCAGCUACGAGGACACGUCCUGGCCCAGUGUGGCACAGGCAGAGGCACCACUGCACGGUACUGGAUCCAUAGGGAAGGCCAGGGGUUCAGAUCCCGGAUCAGCCUGCACACGCCGGCCAGGCCUGUGGGAUGGAAGGCUGUGAGGAGGGUCACAGGGUCCCUGUCUCUCUCUCCUUCUUAUGAAAUAAAAAACAAUGAACUUAUAAUAAGUAAAUUCAUAUAGUCUUCUGGUCAUCUAUGGCAGCGUGGGGGAGAGAGCUCGCCGAGAACACUUUCUCUGGGAAGGAGCAUCUCACUGUCCCAGCGAACAUGUAUGUGAUAAGUAUGUACAUGUAUGUACGUAAGCAGUUUAUAACUGGACCAGAGUUUAUCCAAACACGUGAAGAAGGACCCUUCCUUUUUUUUUUUUUUUUUUUUUUUAAGUUUU